CGCCCCCACUCCCCUGAGCUCUGCAGCAGGGCUCAGCCUGCACUCACCGGCGGGGGAAGUGCAGAGACCCGGCCUCAGCCGCACCGCUGAUGGGGAAGUUGAGACAGAAAGAUCAAGUGUUCAAGGUCAAAACAGAAGGCAAUGGUCAGGUUAAGAAGCAAACCCUGGUUUCCUGAUUCUAACAGUGGUACAGUUUUAGAUAUUUGUGAGAAAACACUAAAAAUUACUGCAGUCAACAAAACUGACCUUUCUGAAAGCGAUCCAGCCAUCAGUGGUCUAAGAACUACAUCUCCCACAGUUGAUGUAAAACCAUCUGGCACCCAUUGUCAUAAAGACAUUUGUCUGAUGUAUGUUUGAGUAACACACAAAUGAAAACAGGGACUGCUGGAGAUGGAUGUGAUUUCCAAGGAAGCAAUUGUCACUCAAGACUGUGGAGAAUGAGGGAGCUGUGUAUAUUUUUACAAGUAUUAUAUGCACCUCUUAUCUGUUAUCCUGCCUGACUGCCAGGCAUUAAAUCCAAGUAGGCAGUAAAUAGUAGAUGAAAAAAUGACAACAAUAAGGCUUUUUCGGGCAACAAUGCAGGGAGCUAUUAAUUGGGGAAUGCGCCU